rnacentral:rRNA from 1 species
ACGGAAGGCAGCAGUGGGGAAUAUUGCACAAUGGGGGAAACCCUGAUGCAGCAACGCCACGUGUGGGAAGAAGCAUUUCGGUGUGUAAACCACUGUCGUGAAGGAAUAAUGCUGGACCUCGGUCCAGUUGAAUGUACUUUGAAAGGAAGCACCGGCAAACUUCGUGCCAGCAGCCGCGGUGAUACGAGGGGUGCAAGCGUUGUUCGGAAUCACUGGGCGUAAAGGGAGCGCAGGCGGAGAUGCAAGCAGUCUGUGCAAUACCGGGGCCCAACCCCGGACCUGCAGACGGGACUGUUUCUCUUGGAUAGCUCAGGGGCUGGCGGAAUUCCUGGUGUAGCGGUGGAAUGCGUAGAGAUCAGGAAGAACACCGAUGGCGAAGGCAGCCAGCUGGGGGCUUAUCGACGCUCAUGCUCGAAAGUGCGGGUAGCAAACAGGAUUAGAUACCCUGGUA